GACGAACGCUGGCGGCGUGCUUAACACAUGCAAGUCGAACGGAAAGGCCCUGCUUUUGUGGGGUGCUCGAGUGGCGAACGGGUGAGUAACACGUGAGUAACCUGCCCUUGACUUUGGGAUAACUUCAGGAAACUGGGGCUAAUACCGGAUAGGAGCUCCUGCUGCAUGGUGGGGGUUGGAAAGUUUCGGCGGUUGGGGAUGGACUCGCGGCUUAUCAGCUUGUUGGUGGGGUAGUGGCUUACCAAGGCUUUGACGGGUAGCCGGCCUGAGAGGGUGACCGGCCACAUUGGGACUGAGAGACGGCCCAGACUCCUACGGGAGGCAGCAGGGGGGAGUAUUGCACAAUGGGGGGAAGCCUGAUGAAGCAACGCCGCGUGCGGGAUGAAGGCCUUCGGGUUGUAAACCGCUGUCGCCUGUGACGAAGCGUGAGUGACGGUAAUGGGUAAAGAAGCACCGGCUAACUACGUG
rnacentral:rRNA from 1 species